AUGGGGCACAGCUCCCGAACCGCGUCCAUGGAGGCGGUGAAAGGUGAGGGGGAGGAGGUGCAGCCGGCCAAUGAGGCGCUGUCGGCGCCGUCGCUGGAGCUGAACCUCGUCGGCGCUCUCGGUCUCGGGGAGAACGCCGCCGCGGAGGCCAAGGGGAAAGAGUUGGUCGUGGCGGCGGGGCCGUCAGUCGAGCCGAAGGCGGCGGUGGUGGUCGCCGGCGGCGAGAACCGCCGCACGUUCAAGUGCAACUACUGCCAGCGUAAGUUCUACACGUCGCAGGCGCUGGGCGGCCACCAGAACGCGCACAAGCGCGAGCGCUCCAUCGCCAAGCGCGCCGCCGCGGGGCGAGGCGGCGACCCUGCUGCUGGCCUGUACGGCCCGGCGGACCACCACCUCCGCUACGCCACCGCCUGGCCCUAUUCCGCCGCCGGCAGGUCAUUCCUCGGCCGGGGCUCGGCCACGGCGCCGUUCUAUGGGAUGCAGAUGCACCACCCCGGGUGGAGCGCGGCGCCCCAGCCGUACCUGGCCGGGCUCGCGCGUCUCGCCGGCGCCCACCGCCCGAUGUAUCGUCCGGAGGCUUACGGCUAUGGCGCGUCUUCCAGGGCCCCCAUAUCGGCCUUCCCCGAGGCCGCGCCGGCGGUGAACGGGAUCUCGCAGGCUGGCGGAAGCGGCAGCGGCAGUGGUAACGGCCGCGAUCAUGGCAUUAAUGAGUUGAAGAAAAAGGAGGAGACCGCCAGCAACAUAGACUUGACUCUCAAGCUCUAG
rnacentral:rRNA from 1 species